UCUGGGUUCCUUUAAUAGGUAUUCUAAUUUUUUGAAGGGGAGGAUGUAUUUUUUUAAUAACUCUUUCUUUCCCAUCUUGUCAAGAGACUAUGAUCUUUGGGUUGGAUGGUUCUGGAUUUUUUAUUUCUUUACCAUUUUUUAAAAUCAUAUUGAUGUCUUUUGGAUCUUCUUUUAUAAGUGUAUACCAUUUAGAGAAUGAUAUUUAUUUCCUAGUCAUUUUUAGAAAGGUAUAAUAUUCUAUUUGUAAUCUACUCAUCUGUUCUUUGGAAAGGAUUGCUAAAGGUUUAUUUUCUAAAUCCAUUUCCAAAGAUGGCUCAAAAUCGAUAUCAAUUACAUAUAACUCUGGGUCUUUUCUAUCAGCAAUUUGAGAAUAAGUAGGUGAGGUAGGCGGAGAUUGAAGUUCUUUAUAUCUAGAUUAGGGAAUCUUUGAUUUAAAAUUUAUAUUACUUAAUUUUGAGGGUGAAGAAGUAGAACAACUAUAUCUAGAUGGGUUUAUUUGGACUUGUAAGGGUUCUAGCCUAUAACUUGAGCUUCGCUGUAAUUCUCUUUGAAAUUUAAUAGAAACAUCUCCUUCAGAAUUUAUAAUGAUUGUAUCCAAUUUACUUUGUUCUUUUCUAAUAGUUGGUACUGAUUUCUUUAGUAACCAAUCAUCGAGAAGCUUAAUUUGAUCCCAAACUAAGGUUCUUGGGACAAACACAUUUUCUUUGCUUGAAUCUAUCUGAAAGUAGUCUGUAGAAUCUAGAGUUCUUUUGUUUAGUACUCCUAUAUAUUUCAAUGUGUUUAAUAUUUUGUAGCAUACCCAAAUUAUGACCGUAGCUGGAUAUGAUCCUGAUAACAUAUUGAAUCCGUCUAGUUUAACCUCUAAUUCUAAACUUCUAAGAAUAUUUUUGUCCUUAGUCUUAAUAGUAAGAUCUGCAUUACAAUUGAAAUAGAUUGGACCAUUGAAUAAACUAGAUUCAACCAUUCCUAAAAGGGCAUCUUGGAAAUCAAGAAAUCUUUCAUUUUUUAAACAUAGAAGGAUAGCAUUAUUAAUUCUUUUUCUGAUCAAUGGUUUUACCACUACUUGAACUAAUCCUAUAUGAAUGAAUUCAAGCUUGGAUUUUUGGAUAGAUUUAAUUAUUUCUGAUGUCAAGAUUGAGAUUAAUUCAUGCUCCUUUUCUAUAGGGAUUGUGAAUUCUAUUGCUUUGAUUCUGUUGUCUGGUAACAACCAGUUUGUAGAUUUAUAAAUGAAACUCCUAGGAACCUUUGGAAUUAUCCAUUUGUCUAACUGUUUGCCAGAUAGUUCUAUUAAAGCCUUGUCAAAACUUUCUCCUUAUGAAGAAGAACUAGUUAAAGAGGAUCUUGAAUGGAAACUCAUCCUUAUAGGGUUUAAAAGAAAGAAAAGAAUGUACUAAAGAAUCAAAGAAUUAAUAAAGAAUAAAGUUUCUAGUUGCUUACGCAACUAAAAGAAUGAAAAGAAUAAAGAAUAUAUAAAGAAUGUACCUAACUAUAAAGACAGAAGAAAAUACCUAUAUGUUAGACUCUCAUUAGUUUCUAUACAAAGUCUGAAAAAAUACUUAAAAGACUCAAGUAUAAAAGAAUGCCUAAAAAAAGAAAGAAUUAGUAAAGGAUUCAAUACCUAAAAGAUGUUAGUGAUCCAUGCUACCACUUCGUGAUAACAAUUCCAAGGGUGGAAAGAGUUAGCAAAAGAAGAUUAAGAAAAGAUACUUAUCUUAGGAGACUUAACAAUAUGAUUCCAAUAAGCAGUCAAAAAAAGAUAUCUAUCUUAGGAGACUAAACACAAGAUGAUCUGAAACUUCAGACCUGAGACUGAUACCCAACUUAGGUGUCAAAGGUAGUCUUCUCUCCGAUCUUUACUGUCUGUGUCUGUAGCGGCUCUCCCUGACCUUCGUCGACAACGGCAUGUCCUGAAGCAAUCCUACAUCCGAAGGUACACUCAAAUCUCUGUCUUCAAACCAUCUGCCAGUUAUACAAUCCCUAUACUCCUCGGAUCAAGCCUAGGUAAUCUUGAUUGAUGCCCCUAUUGCUCAUCUAUCCCUUCUCUUACCAAAAUGUCAAGCUUCUCUCUCUAGACCAAGCCUAGAUUUUUUGAUACUGCUCCUCAGACCAAGCCUAAGUAAUCUUUUUUAAUGCCCCUACAGCUCAUCAAACCUCGAUCUUUCUAAACUACUUCUCUCUCUUCAGGUUCUAUUAUCGACCUACGACAGAGAAAAAGAUCUGACUCUAAUAAAUAAUUAAAAAUUUAUGACUCAUUCUACAUCUCCCUCCCUAGGCUUUAAAUGAACCAUUAGGGGAAAAAGAAUCUCCCUCCCCGGGCUCUGAUACCAAAAUGAACCGACGAUACCAACAAGACCCGAUGGUACCAAUAAGACCCGACGGUACCAACUCGUAGGCACGUAAGUAUCAAAGCAUAGGCUCUGAUACCAACAAGACCUGAUGAGUAUCAAGGCCAACAUGACAUGAGCUCUGAUAUCGUGGGCGUCCAAGGAUCGACUCUGAGGGAGCUUUUCGAUUAAGAGAAGAACCGUAGUAUUUCUAAUCAAUAAAAUUUAUAUGAUAAGAUCUAUGAGCAGGAUCUUGCUCACUCAAAGAGUAAGGCCCACCAAAACACCACUAACAGACCACAAAUCAAAGUCCUCCUAUAGCUUGACUCCUAACCUAAGAUUUAUAAAAUAAAAUCUAAGAGUAGAAUCUUGCUCACAGAGUGAAGCUUGUCCAGACACUACUAAUAGACUACAGGUUAAACUUUUCUAGGAUGCUCAGACACCUAACUCUAACCCUAAAGUUUAUGUGCUGGAACCUUUAAGUAAUAUCUUGCUUACUUUAGGAUAACAGAGAGUAAGACCUGCCAAGAUACCACUAACAAAUUACAGACUAACUAUGAACUAUAAACUAAUGCCAUCAAAGACUAUAGCUUAGGUAUGUGAACCUUCACAGCCAAAAGUCCCCUAUGAUACAAAUAUAGUACACAGUUCAGUAGAACCAGACUUUCUAAACCUAGACUCUAAGACUCUCUAAGACUAGACCGGACUCUAGAUACUAUACAACUCUUCUAAUAUACAACCUACACUCUAAGACUCUCUAAGACUCACUAAGACUUUAAGACCCUCUAAGACUCACAAAGGGUUAGUGGACUCGCUAAGGGUUAGUGGAUCCUAAACACUCUAGACACUCUGCAGGGUAGACACACAGGAUAGACACAGGACUAUGGAUUUCCUAAGGGUGAACCUAAAGAUGGACUCUAAACUCAAACACUAUGGGUAGAUGGUGAAACCUAAGACUGAUUUCUAAGGUCAGACACUAUAGAUGACACCUAUGGGUUUGAGACUGGUCAGACAAUACUAAGGUUGGACACUAAGGGUGAACACCUAAGGCUAGACAUAGGUUGGACUUUAGGGUUGGUCGAUAUCUAAGGUUGGACAUGGAGUGGACAUUACUAUGGAUGGACACUAUGGGUGGACUUACUAUGGGGUGAACAGGGUGAACACUCUACAGGUUAUCCUUAAGGUUACUUAUAGGUUAAAGAACCUAAGAGUUUUCUAAAGAUGACGCUAUGGGUUACCUGAGGAUGACACCAAGGCUUCCUAAGGUUAGCUAGGUGACUUAGUAGUUAAGUUACCUAUAGGUUAGUUAUUUUUUUUAUUUUUUAUUUUUUAUAUACUUUUAGUGUGUUUUUUUUAUAUAGUUUUUAAUUUUUUAUUUUUCAAUGUGGUUUUUAGUUUUUAACUUUUUAUAUGUUUUUGAAUAUGUGAGUUACCUACUUACUUUAUGCAAGUUACCUAUUUACUAUAACUUUUUAUAUUUUUAUAAUUUUUAUUAUUAUUUUUUUAAAAUAGUAUGCAAAUAGUAAUGCAAUAGUUUUUUAAAAUAGUAGUUUUGAAAUCAUGCAUGCAAGUGGAUGAUGAAAAUGUGGAAGAAUAUGAAGAAGUAUGAAUGCAAAUAGUAUUUUGUAAAAUAGUAAUUCUGCAAAUAGUAAUGAAUAGAAUGAAUAGUAUUUAUGAAUGUAAGAUGCAUGCGAUGAUGAAGAAGAUGAAAAGUAAGCAGUAUUUAAAAUAAUAUUUAAAUAAAGUAACACAAAGAAAUAAAUAAAGAAAUGAAGAAAUGAAGUAACUAAGACUUCAUUAAAACAAACUCAUGCAUGGAUAUAUACAAAUGAAGAACACAAGAACAUAAAGAACUUACAAUGUGAAAAAACACAGAGACAGUACAUACAAAAAGUGGAGAUAGCUUGCAGAAGCUUGCUUCUCUCCGACACGGACUCUUGAACAAACUUCACACUUAUGUACAGGCCUCAAGAACACACAAGGAUGAAACGGUAAAAAGACUCAAGAGAAGGAUAUAUAUAAGGAUACAAGAUAGGAGGAAGAAAAAGAACUAUUUAAUGGAACACUUCCUCUCUAGCUUAUAACUUCUACCUGGCAUAUGAUCUUUAAUAAGCUCUCCAAGGAAGCCACUAGCUUCAAGAUUGCUCAUGAAGCUCUACCAUGACUUAUGUCAAGAUUUGCCAAGGCUUAUUCCUCAAUGCUGGCAUUGGGGGUCUUCUUAUAGAAGCUGGGGGUGAGCAUCUUACUUGGGCUUGAAGUAGCUUGGCACUGAAGUAACUUGGUGGUUAAUCAACUUUAUUGGUGAAGUGGCCUACUGAUGAGUAAUUUUAUCAGUGUUGAAGUAACUUGUUGAUAAAGCAUCUUUUGUUGGUGAUGUAACAACAUUGUUGGUAGCGAGAUGACUUGUCGGUGAAGAAAUAACUUUUCUGAAAAUGCAUCUGGCUAGUUAUCUUGUCGAUGCAGUAUUUUGUCGGUGGAGCAUCUAUCUAUGGUUGAAGUAACUUGGCGAAGAAUCAACUUUUGUUAGUGAAGCGGCAAUCAACUUUGUUGGUGGAGUAGCCUAAAAGUAACUUGUUGGUGAAGUACCUUUGCUGAUGAGGUGGCAACUUUUGAUGGUGAAAUUUUUUGGAUGGAAUAUCUGCUGGGAAGGAAUUUUUACUGCCCGUUAAUGAAGAGACAAUUCUAGGACAUCUACUAUUAUUUGCUUGGAGAAGGAUUAGCGUAGUCUUUUUUUCUUUCUCUUGUUUCGAAAAAAGAUUUAGUGUAGUCUUUUUUUUCUUCUUCAGAUGAUAUUAUUUUGAGAUGGAAGCUGGGAAUGAUGAUGGUUUGCUUUGAGAAAGAGUAAAAAAUUUUAUACCUAUAUAAAAUGAUAUCUCUUUCUGAUAGUUCUUUUGGCAACAAUUUGUGGAUAGGUUUGGAAAAGCUCUCAUGUGGAAUUUAUAUCUAUAUUCCUCUUCUUCAUUUAGAAAAGGUCAUGAUAAGAAGAAAAAAAAUUUGCAGAGAAGGAAGGAAAGAAAUUUUAAAUGAAUUGGAAAUGUAAAUUUUGUCCUAAAAUUUUUCCAUUAAUUCCUUCAUCAUCUAUAUAAAUUGGCUUAAUUAAAUUGAGAAAUGGUAUAUCUAAAAUAACUGAUUGAUUUAGAUUUUUUACUAGAAUGAAUGAAGUUUGAAUAUUAAUAUCAUCAUUACAGAUUUUGACAUUUGUUAAUUGAUAGUUAUAUUGAGUUUUGAACCACUAGCAGUUCUUAAAUUUUCAUUUAUUUUUUCAAAAUAUUUUGUUAGGAUUAAUUCUUCAUGAAUACAAUUUAGAUCAGCUCUAGAAUCUAUUAGUGCUAUUGUGUUGAGUUUAAAUUCAUUUUUUUAUGGUAAGACUUAUUUUGAUGCACCACUUUUGCACAUUUGUUUGGUUUAGAAUUUCUAUACCACCUUCAAUAGAUCUUUUGUCAUUGAAAUUCUUAAGGUGUUCUUUUAUUUGUUCAAUUUCUAAUUUUAAAAGAUUGAUUUCUAUUUGAAGUUCUUGAGUGGUUAUUUCUUUCUCUUUUGGUGAUUCAAAUCUUCUUAAAAUAUUAUUUAGGUUAUAAAUUGUUCUUAUUUCUUUUACAUUAUCUUCUUCUUUUAUAGUUUCUUUGAGUUUGGCUAAAUAUUCUUUUCUUUAUUCAUGAUCUUCUAUUUUAUCAAUAAACUCUAGUAAUAAAUCUUGUUCUUUUGUAAUUUCGCAGAUGUCUUUUUUGUCUUCAGAUUCUGAGGAUAAUUUAACACUAUCUUCAAACUCUUGAGAGGCCUGAGACUCCGAAUCUGAUUCUAGGAGUAAAAUUUUUUGUUGAUUUUUUAUUGAUUUUGGAAGGUCAUAUACAUCUAUUUUUAAAUUAUUAUUAUUUUUUUUUACCUUACAAUUUCGACUAAAAUGUCCCAUUCCUCCACACUUGUAAAAAAUUGGUGGUGAUGCUUUUGCCCAAGGCCAACGGGGCUUUUCGGGUUUGUAUUGAGAUAAUUUGGUUUUCUUGCCCUUUGUUAGAGAUUUUGAUUUUUCUUUAAAAGAUCUUUCUUUGUAGCAGUCCUUGCAAAGUUUUUUAGGUUUUUGAGUUUUAAGGGGUUGAAGAUCAAAUUGUUCGCAAAAAUUUCCUAGCUCUUUUUUAGAAUUUAGUUGUUCCUUUUUAAUUUGUUGUUUGAGUCUUAGAUCACUACAAAGUAGUAAUCCUUCCUCAUUUAUGAUAUUAACUAGGUCUCCAUAUGUCAAUCUAUCAUAAAGAAUUCUACCAUUAUUUUGAUUCCUAAGUUUAGUUCUUAUUUUCUCAGAGAACACGGUAGGGAGACCUACAACAAAUUUUUCUUUCCAAAAAGGUUGGUUGCAAUUUUCUCUAGCCCUUACUUUUGUUAAGAAGGCAUCUUUAUACCAUCUAAAAUCUUGGAAUUUUUUGCAUCUUAGAUUUGUCAAGAUUUCUGUCGUCUUAUCUCUUAGUUUUGAUGGAUCUCUUAAGAAAUGUUUAGCAAUUGCAAAGAUAAGGAUGGGAACAGCAUCCUGUAUGUCUAUUCCUUCCUCAUCUUUGAGAAUUAUUCCAUCUGCAGUUUUUGUAACUACAAUAAGGAUUUGAUUUCUAUCUACAUCAUCUAAGUAGUGAUCCCACCAACCCUUCAACUGGCCAGUGAAACUAGCUACAAGAUUUUGAGCAAUAGCAUAAUCAGGUGUGUUUUUUAUUUUAUAAGCAUUUGCUACCAUAGUCAUCUCCUGAAGUAUAUUUUGGAUGCCAUAUUCGGUUACCCCAUCUAUAUUUCAUUCAUAGAUAGUAUUAGCCAAAUAUUGAUUUUAGAUUAUUUGUCCUCUUUCUUCUAGGACUAAAUCUGGAAGGGUAGGCCUUGGGUAAUACAUCUUCCUAGGAUAACUAUUCUAAUUAGUAAUCUUAUUUAUUUGGUGUUCUUCUUCUCUAAAAAUUUUACUUUCAGAUGAAGAUGAAAUUUGCUGGGUUAAGGUGGCUAUUGUUCUAGGUCUAAUAGGUUGUUCUGGGAUAUCUUCUACUCUUUGAAUUCCUUCUACAGCUUGGAGUCUUUUGUUCAUUUCUUUCAUAAUAUCAGUGUUUAAUUCUUUUGAUUAUUUUUUAUUUAUUUCAAAAGGUUUAAAAAUGGGUAAAGAGAUUUUUUCUUUUACUCCAAAUUUUUUUUCUUUCAUUAUUUCUUCUACUCUAAUUAGUUGAUCACCUAUAGUUUUAAGACUUUGAUUGGUAAAAUUAUUUUGCUCUAUAAUGUUUUAAUGUCUCUACCGUUUGGAGUUUCCGGUGGAUCUAUCUUCAUUUUGAAUGGUGAGGCUGUUAUCUGGGUUUCAAUAGCAAGUAUUCUAAUUUCUUGAAGGGAAGGAUAUAUUUUUUCAAUAACUCUUCCUUUCCUAUCUUGCCAAGAGACUAUGAUUUUUGGAUUGGAUGGUUCUAGAUUUUUUAUUUCUUUACCAUUUCUUAAAAUCAUAUUGAUGUCUUUUGGAUAUUCUUUUAUAAGUAUAUACCAUUUAGAGAACGAUAUUUCUUUCCUAAUCAUUUUUAGGAAGGUUUAAUAUCUAUUUGUAAUCUACUCAUCUAUUCUUUGGAAAGGAUUGCUAAAGGUUUUCUUUUAAAAUCCAUUUACAAGAUGGCUCGAAAUCAAUAUCAAUUACAUAUAACUCUGGGUCUUUCCUUUCAGCAAUUUGAGAAUAAGUAGGUGAGAUAGGCGGAGAUUGAAGUUCUUCAUAUCUAGAUUGGGGAAUCUUUGGUUCAAAAUUUACAUUACUUAAUUUUAAAGGUGAACAAGUAGAACAAUUAUGUCUAGAUGGGUUUAUUUGGACUUGUGAGGAUUCUUGCCUAUAACUUGAGCUUCGCCGUAAUCCUCUUUGAAAUCCAAUAGAAACAUCUCCUUCAGAAUUUGUAAUGAUUGUAUCCAAUUUACUUUGUUCU
rnacentral:lncRNA from 1 species